rnacentral:rRNA from 1 species
AGCUCCAGUAGCGUAUAUUAAAGUUGUUGCAGUUAAAAGCUCGUAGUUGAAUUUCUGUGUAGUGCAAUUGAGGUCUUCGGACUGAUUUGCAUUGCACAUCCAUCUGAACAGCAUUCGUUGUCAUUGAUUUGUCGCUUAUGUGAUCAGAUACUUUACCUUGAGAAAAAUAGAGUGUUCCAAGCAGGCGCUCGCCUGAAUAAUAAAGCAUGGAAUAAUACAAUAGGACUGAGUUCUAUUGGUGCAUAGAACGCAGUAAUGAUUAAUAGGGACAGUUGGGGGCAUUUGUAUUUAA